rnacentral:rRNA from 1 species
CCUACGGGGGGCAGCAGUGGGGAAUAUUGGACAAUGGGCGAAAGCCUGAUCCAGCAAUGCCGCGUGAGUGAUGAAGGCCUUAGGGUUGUAAAGCUCUUUUACCAGGGAUGAUAAUGACAGUACCUGGAGAAUAAGCUCCGGCUAACUCCGUGCCAGCAGCCGCGGUAAUACGGAGGGAGCUAGCGUUGUUCGGAAUUACUGGGCGUAAAGCGCACGUAGGCGGCUUUUUAAGUCAGGGGUGAAAUCCCGGGGCUCAACCCCGGAACUGCCCUUGAAACUGGGAAGCUAGAAUCUUGGAGAGGCGAGUGGAAUUCCGAGUGUAGAGGUGAAAUUCGUAGAUAUUCGGAAGAACACCAGUGGCGAAGGCGACUCGCUGGACAAGUAUUGACGCUGAGGUGCGAAAGCGUGGGGAGCAAACAGGAUUAGAUACCCGGGUAGUC